CUCUUAUCCAGAGUGACUGAGGGAUCAGGCCCGAUGAAGUCCGGCAACCUUCAAGAAUUUAUUUUCUUGAGAUGGUGCUAAUUCCUGCAGGCGAAGUAGCCUGAGAGAUAAGAG
rfam:Bacillus sp. CHD6a contig19, whole genome shotgun sequence.